rnacentral:tRNA from 1 species
CAAGAAAUAGUUUAGAUUAAAAUGCGAGUUUUGGGGACUUGCGAUGAGAUUUUAGAUCUCUUUUUUGA